UAUUAAAAAAAUUCAUCCAUUUUUAUUGUUAAAAAUUGGUGUGGCUAACAGAGAAAUCAAAUAGUUACAUGUGGUACAAUAACCAGUUUUUAAUAGUAAAAAUAGAUAGAAUUUUUAAUA
rnacentral:pre_miRNA from 1 species